GCGGAGGUAGCGAAGUGGCCAAACGUGGCAGACUCAAGAAUUUGAGUGAUGAGCCGAGAGGCGAUGACAUACUAUUGGGCCAUCUGCUCCCUUAGUGGGUUCGCAGGUUCGAAUCCUGUCCUCCGCA
rnacentral:tRNA from 1 species